rnacentral:rRNA from 1 species
UACGUAGGGUGCGAGCGUUAAUCGGAAUUACUGGGCGUAAAGCGUGCGCAGGCGGUUUUGUAAGCCGGAUGUGAAAUCCCCGGGCUUAACCUGGGAAUGGCAUUCGGGACUGCAAGGCUGGAGUGCGGCAGAGGAGACUGGAAUUCCUGGUGUAGCAGUGAAAUGCGUAGAUAUCAGGAGGAACACCGAUGGCGAAGGCAGGUCUCUGGGCUGACACUGACGCUCAUGCACGAAGGCGUGGGGAGCAACAGA